CGCCGAAGCACCAUCAUAGAUUUGGAACCCUAAAAUACGGAGUCAUGCACUCGAAGAAUAGUUGGGGUUGGAAGGGUUCCUUAAAGACUCCUGGUUCCAGCCCCCCUGCCAAGGGCAGGGACAGCUUCCACUAGACCAGGCUGCUCAAAACUCAUCCAAGCUGCCCUUGAACACUUCCAGGGAUGGGGCAUUCACGGCUCCUCUGGGCAACCUGCUACACUGCCGCACCAAGACCACUAUUACGAAUUUCUUCCAAAUGUCUUAAUUUAAACCUGUUCCCUUUAAGUUUGGAGCCAUUCCCCCUUGCCCUGUCCACUUACACGCUCUUGUAAGAAGGCUCUCUCCAUCUUUCUUGUAGGCUCCCUUCAGGUACUGGAAGACCCCAAUUAGGUGUCCCCUAAGCCUUCUCUUCCACACCAAGCAAUUCCAGCUCUCUCAGCCUUCCCUCACAGGAGAGGUGCUCCAUCACCUUGGCGACACCCAAUCCACCAGGUCCAUGUCCUUCCCGUGCUUGGACCCCAGAGCUGGUGCAGGGCUCCAGGUGGGGUCUCACCAGAGCAGAGCAGAGGGGCAGAAUCCCCUCCCUCCCCUGCUGCCCACACUGCUCUGGAUGAGCCCAGGACACAUUUGGCUUUCUGGACAGUGAUUGCCAGAUCACAUCCAGCCUCUCAUCCAGCAGCACGCCCAAGUCCUUCCCAGCAGGGCUGCUGUCAAUCUGUCCAUCCCCCAGCCUGUAUUGAUACCAGGGGUUGCCCUGACCCAGGUGCAGCACUUUGCACUUGGCCUUGUCAAACUUCAUGAAGUUCCCAUAGACCCACUUCUCAAGCUUGUCCAGGUCCCUCUGGAUGGUACUGUCGCAGGAUAUGUUGCAUUUGAGACAGGCACAAUACACAGAGGAUCACCAUACAAUUCCAGAAGGCUUCAACCCAUAGAGAGUAACAUCCUACCACUUCAGAAGGCCACAAGUAUCUGCCCUUCUUGUCCUUCAGCCCAGCCUUUCAUCCCCUCAUGUCCAUGCCCUGCUCCCUUUGGUGAUGGGUCAGUGCCCCUGGGCACUCCAUGGCUCAUUGCUGUCAGUGCUGCUCACCUGCUGCUCACAGCUGCACCCACUGGGAUGAGGCUGGGCCAGCCCCACCCCAAUUACCACAAACUGUGUGUACCUACGUGGUACCCCAUCCUUCAGGCGUGGAUUUAGGGCAGUUUUCCGCUUUGGUUCCCUGACAUGUUUCCAGCAUUGUGUUGCUGUGGCAGAAUAGGUGGGAAAACACCUCCUUUUGCUGUCUUGGGUCAGGGCCUGCUGCCAUGCUGGGUUUCAGUGGAUGUGUAGUCACAGAGCAUGUGCAGCCGGGUGUGCAAAGGCACCUGAGGUUACCUGGUAUUGCACAGAGAACCUUGCCAGGGCUGAAAUGGUGACCUUAACUGGCAAAGAGGUACUGAAACUGCCUUUAUCUCUUUAACAUACCAGCCAGCCAUGAAAUAAAGCACUUCAAGGCCUGGCAGAAAUGAAUAAGCAUUAUACUGGCGAGCCAGGUGCAGCAGCUAAUGAAGACAUUCUGGAGAGAUUAGGCUGACUAACAGAAAACCAGAAAAAGAAGCCACUUACCCAUCCAUUGUGCCAGCUCUGUAGUUCUGGGCUCACAGGAUGUUCCUUCAUCCUUAAAGUCAUUUGACUUUUAAAUUGCAGUAGUCAAACACCUGAAAAGCAAAAGAAUUUGGAGGAAAUCAAGCUUCAGUGAUGAUGUCUUGCCUUCACAUCAAAUAUUAAUCUACAAUAUGGAUAAUAGAUUAAAUUUGUUGGAAACUGCCUUCUGUUAAUCCCAAAUACAAAUAAUUGGCAGUGUAAAUGGAGCAGAAGAGUGAUUUUGCCCCCAGAAGUGGUUGCCAAGACACAGGUGGAUUUGCAGACUGGCUGGUGUCUGAACAGUGCAGUUCAGAGAUCAUCUGAGGUUAUUCCCUGAGGUUAUCCUCUAAGGAGGACUAAAUUGUGCUGGAGAAGGAGUGCCUGGGCUAGACACACUGUUGACAUAUAAAAAGGCAAGAGAUCAAGGGCUUUCAUGCAGAGCAGGUCAGUGUGAAAAUGGAAGAGAGUUUUGCCUGUCAGCACAAGCUCAGACUCCUACCAACUUGAAAUGCCACCCACUUAAAAGGCAAGCUACCCCAAAAAUGGGAAUAAAGAAGCUUGUAGGUAAUCAGGAGUAAAACUGGGUGUGGGUUAGAGGAGGAAAAAAGUAUGGUCCAUGAGGACACUUUUACUUUAGCUCAGAGAAUUUGGCUCUUUCUUGGGACUUGAUAACCAUGGCAAAGCUCAUGAGCAAAGCAUUAGUACUGCUGUUAGCUCCUCUGAUGUGCUUGCCUCACACUGACUUAUUGCAACACAUUGAGCAUCUAAAGGUUAAGGACUCUGACAAGACUUUGACCACUUUUUCCAUGAAGAAAGGAUGACACACUGUGCAUGUGAUAGAUGUUGAGCCAAGUUGUUUGACUGACUUAAAGGACACAGUCAAACAAUGCUGCUAAGUGUGCAGAGACAAAUGGGCUGCAAGGCUGCAAAGCUGAACGAGUAAUGUUGGAAAAGUUGAGAAGAGAAAGAUGAAACCGGGGGAAGUAAGUGUAAAGGGGAGCAUACACUCAGGUCAGUCUGUGUUUGUGACUCAACAAGGCAGUCAGGAACAUUAGUCUUGGCGAAAAAGUAAAAAGAAAAAAUCCAUAAAUUCCAGAACUUGGGAGAAGAAGCAAGUUCAAAAUAAGAAAACAGUGAAAAUUAAGGGGAUUAAAUAGAACACUCCAGAACGUGCCAGUUUUAAAAGUGUUUUGUUUACAGGAAUUAGCAUGAACCUAGAAAAUGCUGCAGCAGAUUACUUCAGUUUUUACAGUGCUUUGAACUUGGAAAGACUGGGUAAUUGAUUCAUGCCCUUUUUGUGCCCUGUCGUUUCAUCAACUUUGUAUGGAGGGAAGGUCUUCCUCAGCUACCUCAUGAGAACCCACUGAAGUUGUGCUGUGGUGUACAAUCAACAGGGUCUGUGACAGGUGAAUAUUACUUGCAAGCAUCUGCUGAAUUGUGGAUAAAUCUGCCUAAGGCUGGAACACCAGUUUCAUUGGAACAAUUGAGUUUCCCGUUUCAUUCAGCUCCCCCAGCACAUCACCCAUGCAGAGUUCACCACAGGACUGCAGGCUAUCUUUAGAUCCUUUAAUCCGUUCAUGAUAACAUGAAUCUGCUGCCCGAUUUGUCAUUCCUCAACACCCCUGAUUUUAUGGCAUCCUACAUAUCCUAAGCACUUUGAAUCUGUAUUGAGUCAGAAGAUUAUUCUAGAAAGGAAAGCAGUAGGUGCUGUUUAUUUAGUACGUAAGGAGUUAACAACACUUGAAAAAAUGCAGCUUCAUCAGAAUCAGUUUUGCCUGACAUGCUGAAUAUAUGACCUUUGGAACAAAAAGAAGUGUCAGAACUCUGUGAACACGCAUCAUUACCAAGGAUUUUGGUUUGUCAUCUGCAGCUGAGGCCUCCCAUAUUGUUUGCAAAUCCCAGACAAAUCACUUUUUUGCUUCAAGGAACCAUUUUGAGAGGAGAAUAACCUCAAAGGUGCAGGCCAAAAGGUAUUUUGGUUUGUUGUAUUGCACUAGUGAAUCAACUGAAACAAAUACAUUUCCAGUGUGUGCUUCCAUACUUACUUUUUGGCUUAUUUCUAUCAGGUUACAUUGCUCUAACUCUUCUUUACUGUUGCAUUUUUGAUGUCGCGUGGUACAGAAACUGACAGAGUAAAAAUUAACAGAAAACUGAUGUUCUUUGGCUCAGCAUUCAUAUAACUGUCCCUAUAAUUCACCAAAACAAUGUCAUAGGGCUUGCAUAAAUAAAUACACAGGAGCAAAUACA